UCGCCAGACCCCCGAGCCUGCCGCGGCCCCCGCUCGCCCCGCGCCGCUGCCCCCGCUGCAGCAUCUCCCCCGCAGCCGGGCCCCAGCCCCAGGUGCCCCCGGCGCUGCCGUGGCGGCGGCCAGCCGGCCCCCCGCUGCCGCUCGGGAAGGGCCUGCGGCAGGAGCGGCUCCGGGCGGGGCCGAGCGGCGCCGGUCACGGCCCCCUGCGCUUCUGUCCCUCUGCCGGGGGCCGCGCCGCCUCGGGCUGGCGGGGGUUGUCCCUGCCCGGCCUCGCCCCCCGCGGCGCGGGUGCGGGAGGGGAGCGGGGGCACGGCCCGGUGUGGGCAGGAGCCGGGCCGGCCGGGGCGAGGCGAAGGAGAAGGAACCCGAGGGCAGGCGGGCAGCAGCUGCCUCCUGCUGCGGGCACAGAGGGCCUGGCCCUGCGGUGGGGGGGGACCAGCCCCGCAGCAGCCGGGUGCCAGCGUGCACAGCGGGGUCCGUGUGUCACCCGCGGGGUCCGUGUGUCACCCACAGCCUGGGGCGGCCCCCGGUGCGCGAGGGAGCGACGCGCCGUGUCCGGGAGGCCGCGUCUUGCGAGGAAGAGCUGUGAUGCCAUGAAAGGAUGGGGUAAGAAAACCUGAUGCCCUAAGCGUGUCAUUUCCAGAGAAACAUGUUGCUUAUACGCCUUCAUCUGGGAGGAGGACAGGUAUCCCCAACCCAACUGCAACAUACCUGGUCCACCGACGAUGGUCCCUGUCUGUCCUCGCAGUCAUCUAGGUGAGUAGGGGAGUCCUCCUGAGAAACCCUGGGGGCACCCAGAGGAGUCCUGUCCUCAGCAGGUCCUACAGCCGGACAGAGAGGGUCUCACCUGGGUCACCAAACUGACAUGUGGAAUCGAACUGUACAA